CCACGGGAGGCAGCAGUGGGGAAUCUUGCGCAAUGGGCGAAAGCCUGACGCAGCCAUGCCGCGUGAAUGAUGAAGGUCUUAGGAUUGUAAAAUUCUUUCACCGGGGACGAUAAUGACGGUACCCGGAGAAGAAGCCCCGGCUAACUUCGUGCCAGCAGCCGCGGUAAUACGAAGGGGGCUAGCGUUGCUCGGAAUUACUGGGCGUAAAGGGAGCGUAGGCGGAUAGUUUAGUCAGAGGUGAAAGCCCAGGGCUCAACCUUGGAAUUGCCUUUGAUACUGGCUAUCUUGAGUAUGGGAGAGGUAUGCGGAACUCCGAGUGUAGAGGUGAAAUUCGUAGAUAUUCGGAAGAACACCAGUGGCGAAGGCGGCAUACUGGCCCAUUACUGACGCUGAGGCUCGAAAGCGUGGGGAGCAAACAGGAUUAGAUACCCUGGUAGUCCGACGCUGUAAACGAUGAGUGCUAGUUGUCGGCGAUGCAUGCAUGUCGGUGACGC
rnacentral:rRNA from 1 species